UCUUAAUUAGUAUCAUCGAGGCAAUCAAGCAGCUGUUAAUGUGAAAAUUAGGAGUAAAGUUCUUAUGCGGAGUUCGGUUAUCAAUAAAGAUUGAAAAAAACUUAUCAAAUGCUCCGUGAUUGUGGUGAACAAAAAUAAAAAUAAAAUGCUCGUGAUUGUUUUUACGCGGAGUUCGGUUAUCAACCAAAUAUAUAGAAUUACUAUAGAUUACAGUUAAAUAAACAAAUAAGUUGGAACGAUUUCUUACUAUUCAAUCGUUCCAACUUCGUCUUAAACCGAGUGCAUGUAAUGCGGAUCUCUCUCUUCUACAAUCGUAUCUCGUUUUGUCAUUGAGUUUUCUUUGUAUAGCUUUAAUUCAUUGUCCAAAAAACUGCUUUGAUAUAUAUAUAUAUAUUUUUUUUGUUUAGAUGGUUCAUGAAUACAGCUGAAUCUUCAAUUUUUGAUUAUAGAUCUGAAGUUAUCCAUCUUUCUUUUCUUUUCCUAUUGUAAGCUUCGUUUGCAUCACUGCUUCAGUUUGCAUAAUACACAAAGUGAGUAGUGUUUAAUGCUUCUAUUUACACGAAUCAGUUAACUUCUCAGUCGGGUCUUUCCCCGAGAGAUUCCACGUGUUGUCUUUGUUUUCCUGAUCAGAAACGCAAGCCUAAGCUCUACCUGAUGCACGCCGCUUCCAAGGAGCUGAAAAUUCGUGCUACUUCCAGCGUUUCUGAACUUCAAAGGUCUACUCCAAGUAGCGAUGUUAACAUGACGGCAGAGUUUGAGUUGGAGUUGCAAGAGUUGUUCAAUGAUGUCAAAUCCAUGGUUAAGAUUGGGGUGAGAGUGACGCAAUGGACCUUCUCCGAGCUAAUUACGUUGCUGUCAAAGAAGAGAUCGAUUCGGGCUUGAAAGGUGUCGAACAAGGUGCUCUUCUGGACAUAAUUGCCUUAGGGUAUAUGGCUGAGACUUAAACCUCUUCCUGCAUUGCUUGAUAUGAUAAAUAAGAUUGUUGAUAAGUUAAGGGACAACAAAGACGAGAUUGACAUGUCAAUUCUUGUUGCUACUCGCUGGAUAGUACCCGCUGAUGCUGCAGGCUGCAGCUAGUGUUAUAGUGCUACUAAGCAUAUGGAGAAUCCGGCAGAGGAAUGCGUAGGAGGAGAAGAGCAUAUGGGUCGAAUCGUUUAGCCUAGCAUAUAGCCGUGUCUAGGAUCAGUCGAUUUUGCGUGGUAGAGCUUCAGCUACCCUACCCGUUAGCUUUUUUUUUACUGUCAUUUACACGACCACUGAAAUGUAAUUUCACUUUUACAUUUCUAGUAGGGCUGGGAAUUUUGUUUCAAGAUAUCAGUUUUCGUAAACCUCAUUUUAUGAAUAGAAAAAUAAG